rnacentral:rRNA from 1 species
UACGUAGGGUGCGAGCGUUGUCCGGAAUUAUUGGGCGUAAAGGGCUCGUAGGCGGUUUGUCGCGUCGGGCGUGAAAACCCAGGGCUUAACCCUGGGCUGGCUUCCGAUACGGGCAGACUAGAGGUAUGCAGGGGAGAACGGAAUUCCUGGUGUAGCGGUGAAAUGCGCAGAUAUCAGGAGGAACACCGGUGGCGAAGGCGGUUCUCUGGGCAUUACCUGACGCUGAGGAGCGAAAGUGUGGGGAGCGAACAGG